rnacentral:rRNA from 1 species
UAACGAACUGUGCGAACGUUAUUCGGAAUCACUGGGCUUAACAGGGUGCGUAGGCGGCUUGUUAAGUAGGGUGUGAAAGCCCCCGGCUCAACCGGGGAAUUGCGCCCUAAACUGGCGAGCUGGAGUGAGAUAGGGGUGUGUGGAACGUUCCGGUGGAGCGGUGAAAUGUGUUGAAUAUCGGAAGGAACGCCGGUGGCGAAAGCGACACACUGGAUCUUGAUCUGACGCUGGAGGCACGAAAGCCAGGGGAGCGAACGGG